rnacentral:rRNA from 1 species
UCGGGAGCCCAUACAGGUGCUGCAUGGCUGUCGUCAGCUCGUGCCGUGAGGUGUUCGGUUAAGUCCGGUAACGAGCGCAACCCUCGUCGCCAGUUACAAGUGUCUGGCGAGACCGCCCGUGACAAGCGGGAGGAAGGUGGGGAUGACGUCAAGUCAGCAUGGCCUUUAUGCCCAGGGCUACACACACGCUACAAUGGCCGGUACAAUGGGUCGCCAACCCGCGAGGGGGAGCCAAUCCAAUAAAGCCGGUCUCAGUUCGGAUUGCAGGCUGCAACCCGCCUGCAUGAAGUCGGAGUUGCUAGUAACCGCGCGUCAGCCACAGUGCGGUGAAUACGUUCCCGGGCCUUGUACACACCGCCCGUCACGUCAUGGGAGCUGGUCACGCCUGAAACCGGUGGGCUAACCGCAAGGAUGCAGCCGUCUAAGGUGGGGCCGGUGACUGGGACG